AUUGAACGCUGGCGGCAGGCCUAACACAUGCAAGUCGAGCGAGCGGCGGAAGGGUGAGUAAUGUCUGGUAAACUUCCUGAUGGAGGGGGAUAACUACUGGAAACGGUAGCUAAUACCGCAUACCAUCAGAUGUGCCCAGAUGUGAGUAGCUAGUAGGUGGGUUAAUGGCUCACCUAGGCGACGCUCCCUAGCUGGUCUGAGAGGAUGACCAGCCACACUGGAACUGAGACACGGUCCAGACUCCUACGGGAGGCAGCAGUGGGGAAUAUUGGACAAUGGGCGAAAGCCUGAUCCAGCCAUGCCGCGUGUGUGAAGAAGGUCUUCGGAUUGUAAAGCACUUUAAGUUGGGAGGCGUUACCAACAGAAUAAGCACCGGCUAACUUCGUGCCAGCAGCCGCGGUAAUUC
rnacentral:rRNA from 1 species